GACGAACGCUGGCGGCGUGCUUAACACAUGCAAGUCGAACGGAAAGGCCUCUUUCGGGGGGUACUCGAGUGGCGAACGGGUGAGUAACACGUGAGUAACCUGCCCUUGACUUUGGGAUAACUUCAGGAAACUGGGGCUAAUACCGGAUAGGAGCUCCUGCUGCAUGGUGGGGGUUGGAAAGUUUCGGCGGUUGGGGAUGGACUCGCGGCUUAUCAGCUUGUUGGUGGGGUAGUGGCUUACCAAGGCUUUGACGGGUAGCCGGCCUGAGAGGGUGACCGGCCACAUUGGGACUGAGAUACGGCCCAGACUCCUACGGGAGGCAGCAGUGGGGUAUAUUGCACAAUGGGUGGAAGCCUGAUGCUGCAACGCCGUGUGCGGGAUGACGGCCUUCGGGUUGUAAACCGCUUUCGCUCAUGACGAAGCUUUGUGUGACGGUAGUGGGUAAAGAAGCACCGGCUAACUACGUG
rnacentral:rRNA from 1 species